AGCUAGUGGACACGCUCAACUACGAAAUAACAUCCCAAUCAGAUCCACUACCGAAGGAUCAAUCUAACUGCGAAGCAAUAUUAUACACAAAUGCAUGUGUUUUACACUCUUUUUUUUUUUUUUUUUUUUUUUUGGUGCACGUUGCUUCGCGGUUAGAUUAGUCCACUAGCCCAAUGAUGGCUUUGGUCCAACUAAUAAUUUUUUCUCUUUAUCUCUAUAAUUUUAGAAGCGACCUCUUCUUCACUCCUCUAUACCUACUCAUGACCAUCUUCCAGCUCAGCCUCUCUCUCUCUCUCUCUCUCUCUCUCUCUCUCUCUCAAACAUGAAUGUCAUCCGAGAGCCGUUUCCCUGAGCCUAACAAGAUUUCUAUUUCCUAUUGCUUUCACUGGCCGGAAACUAUACAUCAUGCAACAUCCUGGAGUCUUUCUUUUUCUUUUUCUUCUUCUUCUUCUUCUUCUUCUUGAGAACAAAAAUCUGGAGUUUCUAUUUAGAUGCUUCAGCAUUAAAUUUUUUUUUUACACCAUUGUGUUUGUCCAAUGAAUCCUCAAAAUAUGACCGCUCUAGUAAAUCGUUAUCUAAAGAAGUCACAAAGUGUUGAAGAAUUCUAGAGGGAGAUGACCAUGCGCUAUAAAAUGGAAUUUUUCAUGUUUUAGGUUUUUUUAAAAUUGACAAACCACAUCAAUGACCCGCCCAUAAAUAUGAUGAAAUAACAAUUACUGUUUUUGUAGAACCAUUUGGAGUUGAAAGAUAAGCUUGGUUGUUGCACAUAUCUACAGGUGCCGGUCUUCUCAAUCAAUCCUCUUUUUAUGAUGAUAAAAGUGGUUCUUUUUCCUCUAAAAUCAUCAUAUAUCCCUGUUUUUAUUUUGUUUUAUUUUUGUUUAAUUUUAUCAGUCUAGCCAAUUAUAUGAUUACUGACCUUCUACAUUUUUCUCUAUAUGACUGGCUAAUGGUUUCUUGCAGUGAAAAAAUGGUAUUGUGAUUAAGAAGCAGUCUUGGUAAGACAUAUCCCAUAGGAUUAAGCUCUGGUGAGUGCUUGCAUACUUCAAUUUUCCUUCUUUUUCUGAGCAACAAGGCAUUAUGAAUUGCACUGUUCCUACUACUCUUUCUCUCUGAUUCUCGGCUAUUUGGGUAACUAGGUUGUAACAAUUUUGACCGUUAAUUUUCUUUUUUUAAUGAAAAAAUUUAAGUUACCGAGGACUGUUUAAGCCUGAAGAAUUAAGUCUAAAAUCUUGCAACCAGUAACUGUUUUAUGAUUUAAUCACAUACCGUAGCGCAACAGAUGACUAUUCUUUUUUUCAUGACUAUAUUGAUGAAAAUUACAGAGCACUCACAUAAUAAAAAAAUGAAUUGCUUAAUCCACUAGUUGGUGCAUUUUCAUCAAUAUAAUAAAUAUCAGCCAUUUACCGAUAUUAUCAAGUUAUUUAUAUGUGUGCAAAAUUUAAGGUCAUUAACUUAUAUCUGAUUUUAAUGAAAAGGAUCAUUAACAUUUAAUAUGAGGUUGGCAUUUAUAAACAUGAUUAUGUUACUAGCUGCUAAGUUCUCAGUUGGCCAGCAAUUGGAGGCCAAUAGCUCAAGCUUCAAAUAGGCAGGUUACAGCAAAUUUUGUAUAGGCUAGUUGAAUAGCAUCCUGGCAGAGAGAACUUAGAUUUUCAUAUGACUCAAAUGCAUAAUUUAAAUGACCCAGCUAGCUUGGUGCUUCAACAGGGUCUUUUGUUCCUCCACUAUACUUUCUCGAGGGUGGAGAUAAACUGAAGCAAUCGUAUCACUGUUUAUAACAUUUUAGAACUCAAGGAUUUUUGUCAUCACAAAAAAGAAAAGGAUUGUUGAACCUUAAAGGUGGAUUUUGAUAAUGCAAAAUAGCUAAGUCAAAAGUUGACUAAUCUAUUUGCUUUGACUUUAAAUGAUAAAUUUCAGGAAGCAAAGAUGAAACUCUUCAACUACUCUCAAAAUGAUUAUCCAUCUGAAGCUCUACAUCAAAAGCAAACUCCAAAAGGCCAUGAAUACAUUCCUUGGAUACAAGCACAAAAGAUUUCAUCCUGAGCUACCUCAAAAGUCGACCCCGAAACAUUGUCGCUGACUCAUGCACCUUGAUAAGCCGACUCUAACAGAUUACAAGUCGACUCUAGAACAAUCUCACAGAACAGGCAAAAAACCAAGAAAUUCAUCUCAUUGACGAGUCGACCUAUGAAGUACUCGAACCGACUCCAGUAUAGCAUGAGCCGACCACAGAUAAAAGCUAGUUGACCUCAGAAUGACUAUAAAAAAAAAAGAUAGAUAGCUGAUGAAAUCACUGAUUGGCGAAUCAACCCGUGGAAUUCACGAGCUGACUCUAGUAAAACUAGAAUCGACCCUAGAAAUAGUCGAGUCGACCUCAGAACGGCCACAAUGGAAGGACAGAAAGUAGCAAAAAAUAGUUCGUCAAAGAAUCGACCCCUGAAAUCAACGAGUCGACUCUUUGAAACCUUGAGUCGACCUCUGAACUAAGAAAGCAACUCCACAAGCUCUAUAGAUGAAAGAUAGAGUGCAACAGAAACAGAAGCAAGCUCGGGCUAACUCCUAAAGAUCACAAGUCUACUCUUCAAAAUCUCGAGUCGACCCUCGAAAAUGGUAUGGGAUGCUGAUGAUUAAAGACAGAUCGGAAUGCAGGUACAAUGGCUCAGUUGUUUGACGAAGGCCAAGAAGAGUGUUCUGCCAUCUUUCUAAGGACCUACUUGGUUGCUGCCCUUGCACUUGCAGCUUGGUCAACAUCUUUCAUGUCUAUCCCAAAAUUUUAGAUUAUGUAUUGUCAACGA